rnacentral:misc_RNA from 1 species
UCUCCGUUGGUGAACCAGCGGAGGGAUCAUUACAGAGUUUAUCAUAACUCCCAAACCCAUGUGAACAUACCCUACGUUGCCUCGGCAGGUCGCGCACGUCUACCCGGUAGUACUCUUACCCUAUAGGAGCCUACCCGAUAGCCGCGUGUAAACCUGCCGGCGGCCAAUGAAACUCUGUUUUUUUAAGCCCUGAAUUCUGAAAACAAAAAACAAAAUAAGUUAAAACUUUCAACAACGGAUCUCUUGGUUCUG